AAUAAAGUGCCUGAUUAAAGGAUUAUUCUGAUAGGAUAAAUUAAGUAGUACUCUACCUUUAUUA
rnacentral:tRNA from 1 species